AACGAACGCUGGCGGCAUGCCUAACACAUGCAAGUCGAACGAGACCUUCGGGUCUAGUGGCGCACGGGGGCGUAACGCGUGGGAACCUGCCCUUAGGUUCGGAAUAACUCCCCGAAAGGGGUGCUAAUACCGGAUAAUGUCUUCGGACCAAAGAUUUAUCGCCUUUGGAUGGGCCCGCGUUGGAUUCGCUGGUUGGUAGGGUAAAAGCCUACCAAGGAGACGAUGCAUAGCUGGUCUGAGAGGAUGAUCAGCCACACUGGGACUGCGACACGGCCCAGAAUCCGACGGGAGGCAGCAGUGGGGAAUAUUGGACGAUGGGCGAAAGCCUGAUACAGCAAUGCCGCGUGAGUGAUGAAGGCGUUAGGGUUGUAAAGCUCUUUUAGCCGGGAUGAUAAUGACAGUACCGGGAGAAUAAGCGCCGGCUAACUCCGUG
rnacentral:rRNA from 1 species